rnacentral:lncRNA from 1 species
GUGCUGGCUAGCGGAGUAGAACACCUGUUUAGGAGAGGUGCUGGCUUGCGGAGUAGAACACCUGUUUAGGAGAGGUGCUGGCUAGGGGAGUAGAACAGUUGUUUAGGAGAGGUGCUGGCUAGGUGAGUAGAACAGUUGUUUAGGAGAGGUGCUGGCUAGGGGAGUAGAACACCUGUUUAGGAGAGGUGCUGCCUAGGGGAGUAGAACAGUUGUUUAGGAGAGGUCCUGGCUAGCAGAGUAGAACACCUGUUUAGGAGAGGUGCUGGCUUGCGGAGUAGAACACCUGUUUAGGAGAGGUGCUGGCUAGGGGAGUAGAACAGUUGUUUAGGAGAGGUGCUGGCUAGCAGAGUAGAACACCUGUUUAGGAGAGGUGCUGGCUAGCAGAGUAGAACACCUGUUUAGGAGAGGUGCUGGCUAG